GUGCUCGCUUCGGCAGCACAUAUACUAAAAUUGGAACGAUACAGAGAAGAUUAGCAUGGCUCCUGCACAAGGAUAUACACCUUCUGGAUUUAGAGAUAAUUUUA
ensembl:snRNA U6 U6 spliceosomal RNA